GUCAGCUCGUGUUGUGAAAUGUUGGGUUAAGUCCCGCAACGAGCGCAACCCUUAUCCUUUGUUGCCAGCGGUCCGGCCGGGAACUCAAAGGAGACUGCCAGUGAUAAACUGGAGGAAGGUGGGGAUGACGUCAAGUCAUCAUGGCCCUUACGACCAGGGCUACACACGUGCUACAAUGGCGCAUACAAAGAGAAGCGACCUCGCGAGAGCAAGCGGACCUCAUAAAGUGCGUCGUAGUCCGGAUUGGAGUCUGCAACUCGACUCCAUGAAGUCGGAAUCGCUAGUAAUCGUGGAUCAGAAUGCCACGGUGAAUACGUUCCCGGGCCUUGUACACACCGCCCGUCACACCAUGGGAGUGGGUUGCAAAAGAAGUAGGUAGCUUAACCUUCGGGAGGGCGCUUACCACUUUGUGAUUCAUGACUGGGGUGAAGUCGUAACAAGGUAACCGUAGGGGAACCUGCGGUUGGAUCACCUCCUUACCUUAAAGAAGC
rnacentral:rRNA from 1 species